UGGGGAAUAUUGGACAAUGGGCGAAAGCCUGAUCCAGCCAUGCCGCGUGUGUGAAGAAGGUCUUCGGAUUGUAAAGCACUUUAAGUUGGGAGGAAGGGCAGUAAGGGAAUACCUUCCGGUUUUGACGUAACCGACAGAUUAAGCACCGCCUACCUUGGUGCCAGCAGCGGCGGUAAUACAGAGGGUGCAAGCGUUAAUCGGAAUUACUGGGCGUAAAGCGCGCGAGGGUGGUUCGUUAAGUGGAAUGUGAAAGCCCCGGGCUCAACCUGGGAACUGCAUCCAAAACUGGCGAGCUAGAGUAGGGCAGAGGGUGGUGGAAUUUCCUGUGUAGCGGUGAAAUGCGUAGAUAUAGGAAGGAACACCAGUGGCGAAGGCGACCACCUGGGCUCAUACUGACACUGAGGUGCGAAAGCGUGGGGAGCAAACAGG
rnacentral:rRNA from 1 species